UUUCCUACGGGGGGCAGCAGUAGGGAAUAUUGCUCAAUGGGGGAAACCCUGAAGCAGCAACGCCGCGUGGAGGAUGAAGGUUUUCGGAUUGUAAACUCCUUUUGUUAGAGAAGAUAAUGACGGUACCUAACGAAUAAGCACCGGCUAACUCCGUGCCAGCAGCCGCGGCAAUACGGCGGGUGCAAGCGUUACUCGGAAUCACUGGGCGUAAAGAGCGCGUAGGCGGGAUAGCAAGUCAGCUGUGAAAUCCUCUGGCUUAACCAUAGAACUGCAUUUUAAACUUUUAUUCUAGAGUAUGGGAGGGG
rnacentral:rRNA from 1 species